AUGUUACGUCAUUUCCACCCAGAGGCGUGAGCGCUGCACAGGACAGAACGCCCUGCUGCGGCAGUCGGGGCGCACGUACGGUUGAUACGGGAGCGCAACGGUAUUUUACAGGGUGCGGAAGAGGUUAUCUGUAAGAGGAGCGACACAGAGCGAGUCGGCGCCAGCAAGAUGGGAACCAUUAGUAGCAAGGACAGACAUGAUGCUGCGCUCGGGACGGGCAUAUCGGCCGGAGUACUGCUUCCAGCAGCUGCGGUUUCUGGUCCCCUUGCACCGCUGGUGCUAACAAUCGGACUAGGACUGGCUGCUGCCGGAUGCACUGCAGGACUCUUUACUGUUCUUUCAUUACCAGGCGAUGAAGAAAACGGAACAGGCACAUCACAAAAUGAAAAGCCGGAGGCGCCCGAAGGCAAAUGACGGGCGCCUCGCUUCUAAGGGGCCGUCUGCAUGGGUAAUUGCAGAGCAAACCCUUGCAGUGUAGAAAGGCCUAUUUGAAAUUUCUGAAAUGAUCUAAAAGCUUUGAUGGCAUUUCAUGUCAUUAAUAAAAAUGAGACUUUUUGUACCACA